UAUAAUAUAACAAUAAUAAUAACAGCAAGUACUGCACAAAUGUGACAGUAAGUGGAGCAAGACGUAGAAAACGGCGUCGCUUGAUAAGCACAAAGAAUACAUAAGAACAAUGCAUAAACAGAGAGUGAAACACACAGCUGAUUAUUGGCAGAAACCGACUGCAACUACAAACACAUGUACAUAUUUAGUAUAUUGAGGGAAGUACCUAUAGUAAAAUUGUCUCGACAACAAACCAAACACCUGUUAAGAGGCUUAUUUGCUAGCUGCAGUUCCAAUCGUUUCAUAGCAUGCAUUUCAAGUACUUUCAUAGAGAUCCGCAGCGAAUGGACGCCUAGCAACAAGUCGCCUCAAAGGGCAGCCACAGCAAUUAAGCGAAAAAUGGAAAAAUAAUGAUGGCAAAAUGUGUUGACGACAUCGACAUCGACAUCGACAUCCACAUCGUCACAACGUCGGUCGGCCCAUACUCGUUCGUAUCAUGUGACGCCGUUUCGUUGUACACCUGAACACAGACAGAACACAGAGCCCAACAACACGAACUGUAAACUGAGCGAGGAAAGCAGAAGAUUCAGCAAAAAUUUGCAAACGUUGCUAUCGAAUCGUAUCGAAUGAAAUUGUAUCGAAUCGAAUGCUCAAAACAUAAAUAAAGUUUGUCUACAAUACGUACUUCAAAUGAAAGUAUAUAGUAAUAAUAGAGAAUAAAGCUAUUCUUCUCUUGGAAAUUGUCAGAUAUAAACAAAUAAAAUAAUAGAACUGUGAGAACAUAAACACUUAUGGAUUAUGGAGAUUUGAAAGAGAAAUUUGCCAAACGGAAGCUAUCAAUAUUCGAUCAACAACAAUUUAAAUACAAAGAGAUAAUGGAAAUAUCGCUUAUCUGGUGCUAUCAAUCAAUGAGAAUAAACAAGAAUGUUGUCGGUACUCACCCAAGGGCUCCUGUGGCGUUGGUGUCUCCGCUUGAGGAGGAUGAGGAGGCAGCUGCUGUUGUUCGAUGCAAACUGAUGGCUGAGGAGCUUGUGGCUGCUGUUGAAUGAUAUGAUGUGGAGAUGGUGCCUGGACAAGCAUAGUUGGCGGUGCAUCUGUCCAGGUGAUAGGUAUGGCACCAACUGGUGCAGCACCACAUUCUGUCAGCUCAUCCUCAUACUGAAAUAAAAGUAGAUAAAUAAAUAAAUGAGUUGACCAAAA